rnacentral:lncRNA from 1 species
CAGGCCCCCUCCCGCCUUUGUCUGAAGCCCCGUGAAUUAUGCAGGAGGCCGCGGGAAGGGAGCGCGGCGCAGGAUCGCUCCAUUAUUGAUGAGCGACGAGGAUCCUCCGCUGACAGCCUGCCGGAGAGAUAUGAUUAGCUUGUAAAAAAUUAAUGGCCGUUCUUGGGGAGGACACAGAUUGAAACCCCGAGGAGUGUAUUAUCCAUGUUCCUAAUUUCAGGGGACUCUGAGAAGGUCUCAGCGCGCUGCGGCGCAGACAAUUAAAUUCAAUUAGGAUCACAAGUGUUGAAAUGUCACCCCCUCCUGGGGGCGGGGCUGGGGGAGGGGACGGUGGUGGGGUCCUCCUGGGCGCUGUGCCGCUGCGGAGCCCCGCCCCCUCUGUCCCUGCUCCAGGUGAUCUCAUGCUCACCUAUGGCUCCUGUUGCCACCUAAACCCGAUGACGCACACGUUUCCGGCUCCCGCCUGGACUUCUCCCCAAAGCUAGGCUUCCACACGGUCAGCGGCUGCCCCAACACCUCCUGGGACGCCCCAAGGGCACCUCCACGUUGCCAGGCGUGGCGGCCAGUCCCCACCGUCCUGCCCUGGGCCCGGCCCUCUCUCAGGAUUCUCUCUGGGAAGGGCCCACCUGAACCAAACCCCAGAGGAGCCUUUGGAAUCCCAGCUGCCCGCUCCCUGUCACUGCCUCGGUCCCCACGCUCUGGCUCACCUGCUGGACUAGUGAGGCCCUGCACCUCCCCCCCCCACCCCAUCCUCUGGGCCUCUCUGAUCUCUCCCAGAUCUGAGUGGACGGGGCUCCAGGAUGCGAGGCCUACACUCUGGCACCGUCUGGGCGCAUUAUGGCUGCCGCCGGGGCUCCUCUGAUGUUGGGGAGUGGGGCAGGGGUGUUGGGCAGGAGCACGGCCCAGGAGGGCACCUCCCCAAGCCCCCACCACUAGGCAGGACUGAUGCUAAGGACCAGCCCCUGCCCCGGGGGGACCACAACUCUGGGGUUCCCUUUGGUUCCUGGGCUGUCCCAGCAGAUGGAGCCCAGGGGACCCUGGUGCACCCUCCCACGCUCCACCCCAGGGGGCCCUGUCAGCUCUGGUUUCCGUGACACACUCCACUCCGCAUGCUGAUCUCCCCAACACACAUCCAAGGGCAAAGUCCCCUCGCUGAAGGCCUCCAGGACUUCCUGCAGCUCUCAGGGUGGAUGAAAACCCCAAAUGCCCGGAUGGAGGUCAGGACUCCGAAUCUGGCACCUGACCUUGGAGAAGGCGGCAGAAGCAGCCAGCCACGCUCCCCAGGAAGGAUCUGCAGCCUUCCCCUGCGUCAGGGCAUGGGGUCCUCCCUGGAGGUGCCUCCCUGUCCCCAGAGGAGAGGAGGGUCCCUACC